rnacentral:rRNA from 1 species
UGUCACACCCGUUCCCAUGCCGAACACGGAAGUUAAGCUCUUCAGCGCCGAUGGUAGUCGGGGGUUUCCCCCUGUGAGAGUAGGACGCCGCCA